CCUACGGGAGGCUGCAGUCGAGAAUCAUUCACAAUGGGGGAAACCCUGAUGGUGCGACGCCGCGUGGGGGAAUGAAGGUCUUCGGAUUGUAAACCCCUGUCAUGUGGGAGCAAAUUAAAAAGAUAGUACCACAAGAGGAAGAGACGGCUAACUCUGUGCCAGCAGCCGCGGUAAUACAGAGGUCUCAAGCGUUGUUCGGAAUCACUGGGCGUAAGGCGUGCGUAGGCUGUUUCGUAAGUCGUGUGUGAAAGGCGCGGGCUCAACCCGCGGACGGCACAUGAUACUGCGAGACUAGAGUAAUGGAGGGGGAACCGGAAGUCUCGGUGUAGCAGUGAAAUGCGUAGAUAUCGAGAGGAACACUCGUGGCGAAGGCGGGUUCCUGGACAUUAACUGACGCUGAGGCACGAAGGCCAGGGGAGCGAAAGGGAUUAGAUACCCCAGUAGUC
rnacentral:rRNA from 1 species